CUUAUGUAAUACAUGUAUCACUAGCCACUUUAACUACGCCACUUGGUUUACAUACUCAUCUCAUAUGUAUAUACUGUACUCGAUAUCAUCUACUGUAUCUUGCCUAUGCUGCUCUGUACCAUCACUCAUUCAUAUAUCCUUAUGUACAUAUUCUUUAUCCCCUUACACUGUGUAUGAGACAGUUUUUUUGGAAUUGUUAGUUAGAUUACUUGUUGGUUAUUACUGCAUUGUCGGAACUAGAAGCACAAGCAUUUCGCUACACUCGCAUUAACAUCUGCUAACCAUGUGUAUGUGACAAAUAAAAUUUGAUUUGAUUUGAUUUGAACACAACAUAUAAUUAGUGAGCAUUUCUCCUUUGCCAAGAUAAUCCAUCCACCAGACAGGUGUGGCAUAUGGAGUAUUUCUGUCUGUAAUAAAGCAAUUUUUGGGGGGAAAAACUCAUUAUGGAUUGGCUGGGCAUGGCUCCCCAGUGGCUGGGCCUGGCUCCCCAGUGGGUGGGCCUAUGCCCCCCCAAGGCCCACCCAUGGCUUCACCCCUGCCCAGUUAAAUGAAAUCCAAAGAUUAGGGCCUUCAUUUCCAUUGACAAUAUUCCUUCCAUGAACUGUAACUCAGUAAAAUAUUUGAAAUGGUUGCGUUUAUAUGAUGAUGCGUUCACAUUUUAGUUCAGUGUACAGAGACAUAGAUAUAGGUAGAGUAGAUUCACAGGUUAUGAUGAAGACAGAGGGGGUAGAGUAGACUCACAGGUUAUGAUGAAGACAUAGAUAUAGGUAGAGUAGACUCACAGGUUAUGAUGAAGACAGAGGGGGUAGAGUAGACUCACAGGUUAUGAUGAAGACAGAGGGUGAGAGUAGACUCACAGGUUAUGAUGAAGACAGAGGGGGUAGAGUAGACUCACAGGUUAUGAUGAAGACAGAGGGGGUAGAGUAGAUUCACAGGUUAUGAUGAAGACAUAGGGGGUAGAGUAGAUUCACAGGUUAUGAUGAAGACGUGUAGAUUCACUGGUUAUGAUGAUGAAGAUGAGUAGAGCGUACAGAGACCGGUGGAAAGGUAUGGAUUGCAGUUUUGGGGUCACGAUUCGGUUUUGGUAUAGGGGGAAAAUGAACAGUUUGGCUUCGGCAGUUAACUUCUGUUAACGAAAUAAGAUACACGUUGGUACUUCUGAUUCCAUAUCCACCAUAACAGGCCUGAUGAGAGCACCAUCUUCUGAAAUGAAAACACCACGACUCAUCAACACUAGGAGAAAGUGACAUGUGCAAUCAAUAUGGAAACAUGGCUCAGACAUGGAAAAGACCUGUUUUCUUACGAAGACAAACAUAUGCGCACUUGUGUGACUCAAAGGGGGUGUGUCUAUGGCACUGUAGUUCUUUCCCAGUCCGGGGUCAUGUGAUGGGCUGUCACUUAACAGUCCGGGGUCAUGUGAUUGGCUGUCACUUAAUAGUCCGGGGUCAUGUGAUGGGCCGUCACUGUGAAGUAACUGUGUAACCCUGGAGAUCCAUCCAUCUGUAGGCAGCCCAACACAGGCUGGAUUGGCCAAUUCAUUGUCAACUUCAGCUUUAACUAGCUUAUAUAUGGGUAGCCUGUAUACUGAAAUGAGUGAGAGAGUGAAGAGCCUAAUGUGGCUAGAACACUUUCACAAAGUGCAGAAACGCUCUAACCCCGACAUCCUGACCCCUAAUCACCUGACCCCCUAACCCCUGACAUCCUGACCCC
ensembl:lncRNA